UCUAUGGAGAGUUUGAUCCUGGCUCAGGACGAACGCUGGCGGCGUGCCUAAUACAUGCAAGUCGAGCGGAGUUUUGAAAAGCUUGCUUUUCAAAACUUAGCGGCGGACGGGUGAGUAACACGUGGGCAACCUGCCCUUGAGACGGGGAUAACUCCGGGAAACCGGAGCUAAUACCGGAUAACACAUAUCUUCGCAUGAGGAUAUGUUAGAAGGUGGCUUUUAGCUACCACUCAAGGAUGGGCCCGCGGCGCAUUAGCUAG
rnacentral:rRNA from 1 species